rnacentral:rRNA from 1 species
AUUGAACGCUGGCGGCAGGCCUAACACAUGCAAGUCGAACGAGUGGCGGACGGGUGAGUAAUGUCUGGGAAACUGCCUGAUGGAUGGAGAUAACUACGAGAAAAGGUCGCUAAUACCGCAUAACAUCAGAUGUGCCCACAUGGGAUUAGCUAGUAGGUGGGGUAAUGGCUCACCUAGGCGACAAUCCCUAGCUGGUCUGAGAGGAUGACCAGCCACACUGGAACUGAGACACGGUCCAGACUCCUACGGGAGGCAGCAGUGGGGAAUAUUGCACAAUGGGCGCAAGCCUGAUGCAGCCACGCCGCGUGUGUGAAGAAGGCCUUCGGGUUGUAAAGCACUUUCAGCGGGGAGGCGUUACUCGCAGAAGAAGCACCGGCUAACUCCGUGCCAGCAGCCGCGGUAAGAC